rnacentral:rRNA from 1 species
UACGAAGGGGGCUAGCGUUGCUCGGAAUCACUGGGCGUAAAGCGCACGUAGGCGGCUUUCUAAGUCAGGGGUGAAAUCCUGGAGCUCAACUCCAGAACUGCCUUUGAUACUGGGGAGCUCGAGUCCGGAAGAGGUGAGUGGAACUCCGAGUGUAGAGGUGAAAUUCGUAGAUAUUCGGAAGAACACCAGUGGCGAAGGCGGCUCACUGGGACGGUACUGACGCUGAGACGCGAAAGCGUGGGGAGCAAACAGG